GCGGAUGUAGUUCAAUGGUAGAACAUUAGGUUGCCAAUCUAAAUACGAGGGUCCGAUUCCCUUCAUCCGCACCA
rnacentral:tRNA from 2 species